rnacentral:rRNA from 1 species
UACAGAGGGUGCAAGCGUUAAUCGGAAUUACUGGGCGUAAAGCGUGCGUAGUCGGUUAUUUAAGUCGGGCGUGAAAGCCCCGGGCUCAACCUGGGAAUUGCGUUCGAUACUGGAUAGCUAGAGUUCGGCAGAGGGAAGCGGAAUUUCGGGUGUAGCGGUGAAAUGCGUAGAUAUCUGGAGGAACACCGGUGGCGAAGGCGGCGUCCUGGACCAACACUGACACUGAGGCGCGAAAGCCAGGGGAGCAAACGGG